UACGUAGGGGGCAAGCGUUGUCCGGAUUUACUGGGCGUAAAGAGCGUGUAGGCGGCCAGGCAGGUCUGUUGUGAAAACUGGAGGCUCAACUUCCAGACGUCGACAGAAACCGCUUGGCUAGAGUCCGGAAGAGGAGAGUGGAAUUCCUGGUGUAGCGGUGAAAUGCGCGGAUAUCAGGAAGAACACCGAUGGCGAAGGCAGCUCUCUGGGACGGUACUGACGCUGAGACGCGAAAGCGUGGGGAGCGAACAGG
rnacentral:rRNA from 1 species